UCGUAGAAGGAUUGGGGCUUCCUCUGCUCAUUCCAUUGAUGCAUAUCCCACAUACCAAUAGCAACCAGCAUAAGAUGAUUAAGCACAAUGGCUCGGUUGAACUAUAUAAUGUCAGCAAAAGGUGCAGAAAGAAAAACAAUUAAAGGAUGAAACCAAAAUCAUCUAUGUUUUCUGUUGCUUGAAGGAAGAGUACUCUCUCGGGCAAAAGACAUUCCAUUCUCACCAAAUCAAACUAUUUAAAAAGGGCCUUAGAUAUUAGCAAAAAUCUACUAUGAUUCUAAUUAUAUCUAAAUGUACUCAACAAAAGACCAAAAUAAAAAUAGAAUGAAGGUGUAAGUUUACCACAUCCAAGAAAUAAUUGGCUACAUUAUAGUACUUAAAUUGGAUCCUCUCGACAACAUAUACGCAUCAAUACAGAGGUAGCUUGAAACUGUAGCCAUUCAAAGCAGAGUGAUAUAAUGAAGUGAAAAUAAAGAUUAGUAUAAUUAGUGCAGGUUCAGGACUACGGUUCAGGACUAAGCUCACAGUUCUUUCAACAAAAAGGAAAGCAGGGAAGUGAGUUUGGUAGAGCUAGUGCACACAUCCUGAGUAUACAAAGCAAUGAUAUGACAACACAUAUCCUGCUCUUAUCCUCGGUAUACAAAGUAGUGAUAUGUGUCUAAGUAUAUAUUUUUCGCCAUGGUUUCCAGAAUAGGUGUGAAAAAAUAUAUGACAACACCCAUCCGGGGUAUACAAAGCAAUGAGACAACAAUAAGCGGGACACAAGGUAUAAAUACAACAAGCAACAAUAAGUAAUAGUAAGGAAGAAAGGACACAACACACGGAACACACACAAUUCAGUAAAAUACUGCAUAUGAAAUGAGCAAAAGUAAAGAAGGAUGAAGGAGGAAGACAUUACCUUGGCAAGACGAAAGUGAGCACACAAGGCGUCGGGCCAGCUAAACUGUAGGCGUCGGGCCAACUAAACUGCAGCAUGAUCUAGAACACGGAAAAAAAUAAAUUGCCGGAGAAGACAACUUGGUAGUAGAAGCAACUAAAUCAGAACACACACAAACUUUCCUUGUACUGAGUAAUGCGUACAAUAUCUUUUUAUUUAAGGAACAGCUAAAAGAGACUACAAGAUAAUCAACACCUGGAACUUCUUCAAUCAUAUCAUGCUUUAACAUCUAAUAGUUUUUGAAAUCAUUAUUGCAAAAUAGGACAUUUUUUUUGACUCGGUAGUAGAACACCCUAUUUGUGAACUGAGAUAAGAAAAUGGUACUGAUCGUAUAUUUAAUAUUUAAAACGGACCAGAUGUAUCCUGUACUGUCCAGAAGAAACGAAAAUACGAGUGUACCUAACAUUUGAUCACCCGACUCCUCCGACUAAGAGUGAAUCAGGUGGCAAGAAGGAAGUCAAUCAAUACAUUCAUUUGAAAAGCACUUUUUUCAAAAUUAAAUGGUCAUCUAUCAUCAAGCUCCAGAAGCUAAAAUAGAAACAGGAAGUGCCACGAGGUCAAGCACAAUAUACCUAGUGUAUUGUUCGAAAACCAAGAAUCCCUGUGAGGGCAAGAUGAAUCCCACAUACCUCUUGAGCACUAUCCAGAUGCAACCUAUACAAAUAGAAAAGCCAUAAUUCUUUUAAGAC
rnacentral:lncRNA from 1 species